rnacentral:rRNA from 1 species
GAUGAACGCUGGCGGCGUGCCUAAUACAUGCAAGUCGAGCGAACAGACGAGGAGCUUGCUCCUCUGACGUUAGCGGCGGACGGGUGAGUAACACGUGGAUAACCUACCUAUAAGACUGGGAUAACUUCGGGAAACCGGAGCUAAUACCGGAUAAUAUAUUGAACCGCAUGGUUCAAUAGUGAAAGACGGUUUUGCUGUCACUUAUAGAUGGAUCCGCGCCGCAUUAGCUAGUUGGUAAGGUAACGGCUUACCAAGGCAACGAUGCGUAGCCGACCUGAGAGGGUGAUCGGCCACGCUGGAACUGAGACACGGUCCAGACUCCUACGGGAGGCAGCAGUAGGGAAUCUUCCGCAAUGGGCGAAAGCUUGACGGAGCAACGCCGCGUGAGUGAUGAAGGUCUUCGGAUCGUAAAACUCUGUUAUUAGGGAAGAACAAAUGUGUAAGUAACUAUGCACGUCUUGACGGUACCGAAUCAGAAAGCCACGGCUAACUACGUG